UACGUAGGGUGCGAGCGUUGUCCGGAAUUAUUGGGCGUAAAGAGCUCGUAGGCGGUUUUGUCGCGUCUGCUGUGAAAACCGGAGGCUCAACCUCCGGCCUGCAGUGGGUACGGGCAAACUAGAGUGCGGUAGGGGAGAUUGGAAUUCCUGGUGUAGCGGUGAAAUGCGCAGAUAUCGGGAGGAACACCAGUGGCGAAGGCGGCACUCUGGGCCGGAACUGACGCUGAGGAGCGAAAGCGUGGGGGAGCGAACAGG
rnacentral:rRNA from 1 species